GACGAACGCUGGCGGCGUGCUUAACACAUGCAAGUCGAGCGGUAAGGCCCUUUCGGGGGUACACGAGCGGCGAACGGGUGAGUAACACGUGGGUGACCUGCCCUCAGCUCUGGGAUAAGCCUGGGAAACCGGGUCUAAUACCGGAUAUGACUCCAUGACGCAUGGUUGUGGGGUGGAAAGCCUUGUGCGGCUGAGGAUGGGCCCGCGGCCUAUCAGCUUGUUGGUGGGGUGAUGGCCUACCAAGGCGACGACGGGUAGCCGGCCUGAGAGGGCGACCGGCCACACUGGGACCGAGACACGGCCCAGACUCCUACGGGAGGCAGCAGUGGGGAAUCUUGCGCAAUGGGCGAAAGCCUGACGCAGCGACGCCGCGUGAGGGAUGACGGCCU
rnacentral:rRNA from 1 species